AGACUUUGAUUAUGGCUCAGGAUGAACGCUAGCGAUAGGCCUAACACAUGCAAGUCGAGGGGCAGCACAUGAAGCAGCAAUGCGGAUGGUGGCGACCGGCGCACGGGUGAGUAACGCGUAUGCAACCUACCUACAACAGGGGGAUAACCCGUUGAAAGACGGAUUAAUACCCCAUAACACAGGGGUCCCGCAUGGGAAUAUUUGUUAAAGAUUAAUCGGUUGUAGAUGGGCAUGCGUUCCAUUAGCUAGCUGGUGAGGUAACGGCUCACCAAGGCAACGAUGGAUAGGGGAACUGAGAGGUUUAUCCCCCACACUGGUACUGAGACACGGACCAGACUCCUACGGGAGGCAGCAGUGAGGAAUAUUGGUCAAUGGACGCAAGUCUGAACCAGCCACGUCGCGUGAAGGAAGACGGCCCUACGGAUUGUAAACUUCUUUUGUAAGGGAAUAAAGUGAGUCACGUGUGAUUUAUUGCAUGUACCUUACGAAUAAGGAUCGGCUAACUCCGUGCCAGCAGCCGCGGUAAUACGGA
rnacentral:rRNA from 1 species